AUGGAGGUGAGGCUGACUUUAAGCAGGCCUAUCUUCAGUUUCAUAGUGGAGCUCUGAGCAGCCAUACAUCUCUUUGACAUAAAAAAACAAGUCCUCCUCCUCUUUUCCCUUGCCUGUCUUACCUGAACAGUUUAUACCCGUCCAUGAUGGUGCUCAAGUCAUGCGAGCUAUUCCAACAAGUCUCUGUUAUUC